rnacentral:rRNA from 1 species
UACGUAGGGGGCAAGCGUUGUCCGGAUUUAUUGGGCGUAAAGAGCGUGUAGGCGGCCAAGCAGGUCCGCUGUGAAAACUCGAGGCUCAACCUCGAGACGUCGGUGGAAACCGUUUGGCUAGAGUCCGGAAGAGGAAAGUGGAAUUCCCGGUGUAGCGGUGAAAUGCGCAGAUAUCGGGAGGAACACCGGUGGCGAAGGCGGUUCUCUGGGCCUUACCUGACGCUGAGGAGCGAAAGCGUGGGGAGCGAACAGG